rnacentral:rRNA from 1 species
GAAUUCGCCCUUAGAGUUUGAUCCUCUCUCAGGACGAACGCUGGCGGCGUGCCUAACACAUGCAAGUCGAACGGAGUUGAAAGGAGCUUGCUUUUUUCAACUCAGUGGCGGACGGGUGAGUAACGCGUGAGUAACCUGCCUUUCAGAGGGGGAUAACGUUCUGAAAAGAACGCUAAUACCGCAUAAGAUUGUAGUUUCGCAUGGAGCAGCAAUCAAAGGAGCAAUCCGCUGAAAGAUGGACUCGCGUCCGAUUAGAUAGUUGGCGGGGUAACGGCCCACCAAGUCGACGAUCGGUAGCCGGACUGAGAGGUUGAUCGGCCACAUUGGGACUGAGACACGGCCCAGACUCCUACGGGAGGCAGCAGUGAGGGAUAUUGGGCAAUGGGGGAAACCCUGACCCAGCAACGCCGCGUGAGGGAUGACGGUUUUCGGAUUGUAAACCUCUGUCCUCUGUGAAGAUAGUGACGGUAGCAGAGGAGGAAGCUCCGGCUAACUACGUGCCAGCAGCCGCGGUAAUACGUAGGGAGCAAGCGUUGUCCGAAUUUACUGGGUGUAAAGGGUGCGUAGGCGGAUUGGCAAGUCAGAAGUGAAAUCCAUGGGCUUAACCCAUGAACUGCUUUUGAAACUGUUAGUCUUGAGUGAAGUAGAGGUAGGCGGAAUUCCCGGUGUAGCGGUGAAAUGCGUAGAGAUCGGGAGGAACACCAGUGGCGAAGGCGGCCUACUGGGCUUUAACUGACGCUGAGGCACGAAAGUGUGGGUAGCAAACAGGAUUAGAUACCCUGGUAGUCCACACUGUAAAC